rnacentral:tRNA from 1 species
GAAGGUUUUGACUGUUCACCAAAAAAUAGUCUCCGAUUCUAUAGGUCGUGGGUUCGAUUCCCACCUUCCCCA